UGCCAGCUGUAUAGAGGCAUGGAUCAUUCAAGUGCAGCUGUUGUUCUAAACUGAGCACAGUCACUUCUGGGAAGAGUUCAUUUACCAUCCUUGACGUUGUACACAGCUUGGAAUAUAGAAGGCACUCAAAGAAUUUGUUCUGAAUGACCAAAUGGAGGAAUGCCCUAUUGAUAACAAGUCUUGCUGUGUGUACCCUUAUUGAAGGCAGGAAGCAAUCAGUCUUGAAACAGCCUGCCAUGGAUCGCAGAAGGACUAAUCAAGCAGUUAAAAGUCAACUGAUGGGACUUGCAGAGUUCUGAAGAGAUGCUUUGGCUGUGUCCUGUUUGGUGUGGAAGAGCCUUCAACAAACAUCUGUGAAAUGACUGUGUCUAGACACUGCUUUCAUGACUCCUAGGCAGGACAAGGACAUGGAGCAGAGAGAACCACAGUCUUUGUACUCUGUUUAUCUUAUUGUGUGGGGACAAAUAAAUAACCUAAGCCACCUUGGAGGGGAAA